GGCAGUAUGGCCGAGUGGUUAAGGCGAUAGACUUGAAUUCCUCAUUGAAAUCUAUUCUCUUCGGAGGCGUCGGUUCAAAUCCGGCUGCUGUCG